UUCAAGAAUUUACUACCUGCUAUAAAAACAUAGAUUUAGGAAGAAUGGCCCAAGAGUGGAAAGAAAGAGAUAAAAGGCUAACGAAGUAUCGCAAAUAUAUAUGUAUGAGUAUGUUUAUAUAUGUACAUAUAGUAUAUUUGAACCUUUUAUUUUAAGUUCAGGGUACAUGUGCAGGUUUGUCAUUCAUUUCUUACUGUAAGAAGUUCCACUUGUGUCUAACUAAAUUGUCAAAAAUAUAUAACAAAUAAGUAUAUGUACUUCAAAAUAUAUAUACACACAUACAUAUAUACACACAUAUAUAUAUAUACACACACACAAACACAAACACCUAUACAUAUUUAUGCAUGUGUGUAUGGGUGUGUGUGUAUAUAUAUAGCUUGCUAUUUAAACAUGUAUAUAUAUAUAUAUAAACUAGUAUAUAUACACUAGUGUGUAUAUAUAAACUAGUAUAUAUACAUAUGUAUACACACACACAAUCUUAAACAAACUAUAUAAAUAUAUAUACUUUGUUUCAAAGAAUGGAAUGAUCCAGGGUCACAUGCUGCUGGGAGUUGUAGUAGGAUGAGACGGGGAUAUUUGUUUGGGUUUGGUGUCCAGAGAUCAAUAAUUAACUUAACUAGAACUGUUUUAGUUUCAGCCAAGUGUUGGAUAGGAUGCUAAAAUAAAGAGAGUAUGGGUGAGGUGAGGACAGAUUAUACACACUGUUUGGCUCUUACAGCCCCUUUUCACAUAUUUUUUGAUAAUUUCAAUUGAUUCAUCUCCCUUGAGGGGUGAUACAGUUUAUCUGUUUUCAGUCUUUGUUACCAGAAAUAUAUAGAUAUUCCUAGUUUUAGUUCUAAGCUUAUUUUUAACUUUUAUUUUAGGUUCAG
rnacentral:lncRNA from 1 species